GCAGAGUGUCACGCGCCUGUCCGUUGCGACUGGCGAAAAAGUGGAGGAAACCGUUUACAUAUUUGUCGAGUCAAACUUGGGACGAAAUUGCAAAGCGGGAAGUAUCUAGGUCCUAGCCUACUGUAGAGUUACGCGCAUUCAUUAUAAAAACCAAGACUUGAGUUAUACGUUUCUUAUAUAAUUUGACAACCUCAAAAAUAUGUUUAAAACAAAAACGUCGGCCACCGGCACCGCUCCAGACAGAUUUUUGAGGAAAAGAAAAUGAGCAAAUCGCCACGAUCUCCAUCUAAUCUAGAAUCUUAAAACAAAGGUGUCUGACAGAAAUACAUAUGUGAAAAACGGAACUGGUUCUGAACGGUCAUUAAAAAUAACAGCUUCAACGCAAAUCAGGUGCUGUUUUGCUAAGAUUCAACCAGUCUGUCCUCCCUGCCAGACUCUGCCCUCCAUCUUUCUGGUGGCUGCAGCCUUCGGUGGAAUGAGAAACGAGAAACAGGACUCCCCUUGCUGCAGAGCCUUGGCUGUCUGGAUCAUCCUGCGGGCUGUCACCGUCGGCAUGUCAGCCAGUCACACAGCUACGAAUAGAGCCGCGUGCUUCUUGCUCACUAACAAUCAGUGGCACCAUAUUUAGCAAGGUGUAGCGUGCCCACCAUUCCCAGGUAUCGCAGCGUACUGUACCGCAUUCAAGCAGCUGCAGCCCAGGCACUAAGUGAAUCGGUUUGCCAAAGGUCUGGAAACCCAAGUGGUUUGUGGACAUCGGGGUCGGCAGUCUGAACGAUGCUGCAUAUACCGGUUGGCAGUGACUCGAAAGCGUCUGUCUGCUUUCGGUCGUAAACAUCUGUCUGCUUUUUAUUCCUUCUUUUUUUUUUAAAUUCUAAAAUAAAAAAUUUGGAAUCUCGUGUAUUUUAAUUAAA
rnacentral:lncRNA from 1 species